GGAGCAUGUGGUUUAAUUCGAUGCAACGCGAAGAACCUUACCUGGUCUUGACAUCCACAGAACUUUCCAGAGAUGGAUUGGUGCCUUCGGGAACUGUGAGACAGGUGCUGCAUGGCUGUCGUCAGCUCGUGUUGUGAAAUGUUGGGUUAAGUCCCGCAACGAGCGCAACCCUUAUCCUUUGUUGCCAGCGGUCGGCCGGGAACUCAAAGGAGACUGCCAGUGAUAAACUGGAGGAAGGUGGGGAUGACGUCAAGUCAUCAUGGCCCUUACGACCAGGGCUACACACGUGCUACAAUGGCAUAUACAAAGAGAAGCGACCUCGCGAGAGCAAGCGGACCUCAUAAAGUAUGUCGUAGUCCGGAUUGGAGUCUGCAACUCGACUCCAUGAAGUCGGAAUCGCUAGUAAUCGUAGAUCAGAAUGCUACGGUGA
rnacentral:rRNA from 1 species